ACGAUGGGAGUGGCCCAGCCUUCUCUCUGCCAGGUGUUCCCGUGUCAGGUCAACCAGUCCCACCUCCAUGCUUCCUGGGCAGGUGGAGCAAACCCAAGGAGCACGCAGUCACCAAGGAGUGUGCAGCUUAGAACAAAAUUCUGGACCUGGAAACGCAGCUGAGCAGGACUAAAACCGAGCUCAGCCAGCUGCAGCGGAACCGGGACGAUGCUGACCGCCACUACCAGAGCCGGCUGCGGGACCUGAAAGACCGCCUGGAGCAGUCGGAGAGCACCAGUCGCAGCAUGCAGAACUACAUCCAGUUCCUCAAGUCAUCCUAUGCCAACGUGUUUGGGGACAGUGCCUACACUACCUACCUGACCAGCUCUCCCAUCCACUCCUGAUCUCCUCCUGCCUGAGGCUGCCAGUCUCAGGCCAGGAGCCUGAUUGAUACCAUGGGAUCUAAGGAGUUGCUAAAGCCAUAUUUGAAAAGCCUGUAAGUUUUCUUCUCUCUCCCAGUGAUGAAGUGUGUUCAGGAUUUUGUCUUAGCUCCUGGCUUCAAAGAAGUCCCUAAGGCAGUGGGGGAUGUAACAGAAACCACUUAGCCCUCUCCUUUCUGAUAGAGUCGCCUGAUGGAGGUUUUUGAUUACUUUGACAGGCCUUCAGUCUAACCACUGUGAAGGUACCAGAGGUUAGCUCACCAUGACUUUGCUCAUCCCUUUCCUGAGAGGAAGUCUGGACUGGACUUUUCCCUCCGUCCCCUUAACAGUGCUCCUCUUUUUAGGAAUUUCUUGGGUUUUCUCUGACCUGAGCCAGCAGAAGCCUCUAACCAGAGGUCCUCACCACCCAUCCUGGGCCGGGAGCAUGUUGUUCCCUUGCUGUUUAUUUCAUGGGUUUGUGUUUACCCCAAGGCUCCCUUCCCAAGCCCACUGGCCACCUCCUGCCCAAGUUUCCUUGAUGCCACUUGCCCCCUGACACUUACACCCAAGGGCUCCUGUCCAGUUGGCCUUUUAAAAGUAUAAUCCCAAUCUCGUUGAUUUUUGUUUUUCUUUGCCAGCUUUGUAUCUAUGGACUACAUUUAUUCUUGUACUAUGUGUGUUGUUUUACAAAAAGCUUCUAUAAUCAAUAUUUGAGGCUCUGUUGCAUGAUUUCCUUUACCCACCCCAUCCCUUUUCUAAAAAUGAUUAAGUCAAAUGCUGCAGGAGACCAGUAAACAUUUUUAUGGCACUUG